UACAGAGGGUGCAAGCGUUAAUCGGAGUUACUGGGCGUAAAGGGCGCGUAGGCGGUCAUAUGUGUGAGACGUGAAAUCCCCGGGCUUAACCUGGGGCGGUCGUCUUAAACUGUAUGACUGGAGUACUGUAGAGGGUAGUGGAAUUUCCGGUGUAGCGGUGAAAUGCGUAGAGAUCGGAAGGAACACCAGUGGCGAAGGCGGCUACCUGGACAGAUACUGACGCUGAGGCGCGAAAGCGUGGGGAGCAAACAGG
rnacentral:rRNA from 1 species